UACGAGGGGUGCAAGCGUUGCUCGGAAUUAUUGGGCGUAAAGGGUAGGUAGGUGGUCUGAUUUGUCAGGGGUGAAAGCCUUGGGCUUAACCCAAGAAGUGCCCCUGAAACGGUCAGACUGGAGUCUUGGAGAGGGUCGCGGAAUUCCCGGUGUAGCGGUGAAAUGCGUAGAGAUCGGGAGGAACACCAGAGGCGAAGGCGGCGACCUGGACAAGUACUGACACUCAACUACGAAAGCGUGGGUAGCAAACAGG
rnacentral:rRNA from 1 species